AUACAAGAAACCAGGAGACACAUGAGAACCAGACAGCUCAGGGUUCACCUGAUGGGUUUCAUUCAAACCCUGUCCAAAUGACUGGACGGAUGGACGGACGGACAGAUGGGUGGUCACAGCUCCCCCUUCAACUGUUACCCUCCGCCUUUUCCCCGAUACAGCGACCUGGUUGAUGCGACUGGCCAUGCGGCCACGUCGCUCACCUGGGCGGUCUGUGCUGGGACCCCCACCUGCCAUUACCCCCUGUGGCUGCAGGCUCAGGCACCCAUGUAUCAUGUUAUUUAUUUGUUUGUUCUUGUGAUGGGCUGUACUUAAGCAAAUUUCAUUGUCCUUCUGUACGAUGACAGUAAAGACUGAUUGAUUGAUUGAUUGAUUGAUUGAUUGAUUGAUUGAUUGAUUGAUUGAUUGAUUGAUUGAUUGAUUGAUUGAUUGUAGUAGGGCUAAAAUGAUUCCUCGAAUGAUUCGAGUAAAUUCCUCUAGGAAAAUUUACUCGAGCUUCGUUAAAUUAUGUUUUAUUAUUUAGCGCACCGUGUUCUGGCCGGAACAUUAUUUGCGUUGUGCAGAGCUCUGACUUAAGUGUUAGCGGCAUAACGUCCAAUCUUCAAGUUCGGCCCGUGGGGAUUUUAUUGAUUAAUGAUAAUUCCGGGUUUUCAUCGUUUUCGGGAACCAAUAAACAUCCUUAAAUAACCGGAGCGAUCCGGGAGUCCGGCAGCCUUUCUGCUCCGGAGCUGCUGGUUCAGAGCUGAGGAGGAUUUCUACAGGCAGAGACUGAACACGGCGGGCGGCUGAUGCUGACGAACCGGAAAAUGAAUGUCACGUCAUCCCGGUCUGAACCAACGGGAGGCGGAACAUGGCUGGUAGAGGAGCUUCUGAGAGGGAUGAACGGAGGAGCCGAAUCCCGGAACAUGAACAGAAAAGCUAUAAAUGUUUGGUCAAGUUGAGAGUUCAUCUGUUAAACUGACUGGAAAUGAACACAUGAACUAAAAGCUGGAUUAUAGACAUUUUAAAAUAUAUAUAUAAGCGUAUUUGUGAGCCUGCGUCUUUAUUAUUAAAUUGAUUAUAAUUUCAGAUAAAUUCUUCAGGUUAACCUAGAAAGUGAGCUGUUGUUGUUACAGGUUGAUUUUCUAAACUACAGUAACAUAACUUAGGGAAGCUCAAAUAUGAAAAAAUUGACUGAUAUGCAACAGUAAUACUGCUGUUACACUAGAUUUACCAAUAUUUUAUUUUAUAGGUUUUUAUCCGAUUGUCGAUUAAUUGUAAGAAUAAUCAAUAGAUUACUCGAUUACUAAAAUAUUUGUUUACAACAACCCUAGAUUGUAGCUUGGCCUGCCAGCAAGCAACCGAUCGGCAGAUAGGUUCCGGUUCUGCCAGAGAACAGCAGCAUAACAUUGUUCUCUGCUUUACAGAAUAAACUUUGAGAAACCUGAGGCUAUCCGUGUAGUGAUGACACAUCCUAGCAAACUGGCAGGAAAACCGAUGUCAUUGUUGCUAUGGCAACGUGAUGUUGAUCCAAAAAGUCACCAUGGUUAAUUAUGCAUCAUUCGGAUUGGGGAUGGUGGGUUAGGGUUGGUUGCUGUUUUCUCCCUUUCUCCACCAGAGGGCGCCAAGAGGUUGAUUUCUGGAGAGCAUGACAGGCGGCUGCCGGUUUACCUGCACACCUGCAAGUCAUCUGAUCAUCUGGAGGAGUGUAAGAGGAAGGAGCAGCCAACACUUCUUUGCCAGAGUGUCAGCCAGUAAUGGUGAACCCUCGUGACGUCGUGGAUGUUACCCACAGAUGCCUGAGUUCCAUUGACGCCCUCGCUAGUGAUGGGCAAAUGAAGCCUCAUGAAGCAAUGAACCUUCCCAGCCCUUUGGUUUGCAAAAAGGUUCAUAACUCGAUGCUUCAUUCAUCACUCACUAGUGACAUCUGCUGGUGAAACUGUAACAGCCUUGUCACUCAGUUGGAUCAUACUUCCAAAAACUACUA